AUGCAAGUCGAGCGAGGUAGCAAUACCUAGCGGCGAACGGUCGCGUAACACGUAAGCAACCUGCCCCAAAGACCGGGACAACGUUCCGAAAGGAGCGCUAAUACCGGAUGUGCCCACUUUUUGACAUCAUCGAGUGAGUAAAUCGAGCAAUCGGCUUUGGGAGGGGCUUGCGGCCUAUCAGCUAGAUGGUGGGGUAACGGCCUACCAUGGCGACGACGGGUAGCUGGUCUGAGAGGAUGGUCAGCCGGAUUGGGACUGAGAAUACGGGCCAAACUCCCUACGGGGGGGGCAGCAAUUUAGGGAAUUC
rnacentral:rRNA from 1 species